CUCGCGUGCAGGCUCCUUCCUUCGGUUUAUCUCAUCUCCCUCACGUCUCUUCGCAUCCAUUGACCAAGCGCCGCCGGCAGGGCAUCCAUCGACCGACCGCCGCCCUCGACCAACCGCCGACAUCGCUGUUUGCCUUUCACCACGCGCCGCAGCCCUCGACCAAGCGCCGGUGUCGCCGCGGCCGCCGUCCUCGACCAAGCGCCGGUGCCGCCGUCGCCGCCGCCGCCCUCGACCAAGCGCCGGUGUCGCCGCGGCCGCCGUGCUCGACCAAGUGCCCGUGUCGUCGCUGCCGACCAAGGCUAACCGCUGCCAUUCCCGUUUGCCCUUCACCAAGCGCUGCCGCUGGCAUCCGCCAAGGAUCAUGCAGGAAUUUUUCGGCAGGUGGCUUUGCCGCGGCACUGAAACCGGAUAAGUUUGCCGGUACGUAUUUUAAGCAUUGGCAGACAAAGACUACUUUAUGGCUCACGGCUAUGAACGUGUUCUGGGUGACCGAUGUGUCCACGGGAUCGAUUGCUCCUGAACAGGAGAAGGCGUUCAGGGAGGCAACCACUGUGUUUCUCGGAGCAGUUCUUAGCGUGAUCGGAGAUAAACUGGUCGACACAUAUUUACAUGUGCAUGUCGCCAAUGACUUGUGGGAAGCGCUCGAAUCUAAGUUCGAGGCCGCCGAUUACAAGAUGUAUAUUAUAGAGCAGUUCCACGAUUACAAGAUGGUUGAGAACCGUCCUGUACUGGAGCAGGCUCAUGAGAUAAUAUGCAUUGUUAAGGAGCUUGAGCUUCUGAAGUGCGAGUUACGGGGCAAGUUUGUCGCGGGCUGCAUAAUCGCUAAGUUCCCCAAUUCUCGGAGGAACUUUGCCACCACUCUGAAACAUCAGAGGCGUGAAUUCUUCGUGGAGGAUGUCAUUGGCCAUCUGAGUGUUGGGCAGAAUUCGAGGGCAAAGGACUCGCACGGAAAAGGGGCCGAAGGGACUUCUGUUGCCAACAUGGUGAACCAGGGGAACUUCAACUCCCACAAGUUCAAGGGAAAGAACGGUGUCCAACAGAAUACCGACUUCAAGAAGAAGGGUAAAAAGACCUUCAAGAAGAACAAGAAGAAUGAGGGCUGCUUUACUUGUGGUUCGGCUGAACAUUGGGCCAACAAGUGCCCAAACAAGUUUAAGAAGUUAGGACAGGACUUCAAGUCCGUCAACAUGAUUGUGGGCAACAAUGAAAAUGGUGCAUCUGGGCCACGGGUCCGUAUUGAUGGGGAAUGACGUGAGUGCUUCUGUUCAUAGUGUUGGCACGGUCAAUCUGAAGUUUAUUUCGGGAAGAAUCGUGCAGCUGAAGAACGUGCAACAUGUCCCCGCCAUCAAGAAGAACCUCGUUAGUGGCUCCCUUCUAUGUAGAGAAGGGUUUAAGUUGGUAUUUGAGUCUAAUAAAUUGGUUGUUACUAAGUAUGGACUAUUUGUUGAAAAAGGUUAUGAGAGCGGAGGGAUGUUCCGCCUUUCCCUCGCAGAUUUCUGUAAUAAAGUCGUGAACCAUAUUCAUUCGAGUGUUAAUGAAUCUAAAGUUUGGCAUUCACGUCUUGUCACAUAA
rnacentral:rRNA from 1 species